rnacentral:rRNA from 1 species
UGGAACGCGUGAGAAUCUGCCCUACAGUGAAGAAUACCACCGGGAAACUGGUGUUAAUGCUGCAUACGUCCCUCCGGGGAGAAAAGUAGUUUUAUGCUGCUGCUGUUGGAUGAGCUUGCGUACUAUUAGCUUGUUGGUGGGGUAAAAGCCUACCAAGGCGAUGAUGGUUAGCCGGCCUGAGAGGGUGAACGGCCACAUUGGGACUGAGAUACGGCCCAGACUCCUACGGGAGGCAGCAGUGAGGAAUAUUGCGCAAUGGACGAAAGUCUGACGCAGCAACGCCGCGUGAGGGAUGAAGGUCUUCGGAUCGUAAACCUCUGUUAAGUGGGAAGAAAUACCGAUUUUAUCGGGGAUGACGGUACCACUAGAGAAAGCACCGGCUAACUUCGUGCCAGCAGCCGCGGUAAUACGAGGGGUGCAAACGUUAUUCGGAAUCACUGGGCGUAAAGCGUGCGUAGACGGUCAAUUAAGCUCGUUGUUAAAUUUCCCGGCCCAACCGGGAACUUGCGAUGGGAACUGGUUGGCUUGAGGUUGGAAGAGAGGAAUGGAAUUCCCGGAGUAGCGGUAAAAUGCGUAGAUCUCGGGAGGAACACCGAUGGCGAAGGCAGUUCCUUGGUCCAUACCUGACGUUGAGGCACGA